UAAAGAUUUUUUUUUUUGGCUCAGGAUGAACGCUGGCGGCGUGCUUAACACAUGCAAGUCGAACGAUGAAGCCCAGCUUGCUGGGUGGAUUAGUGGCGAACGGGUGAGUAACACGUGAGUAACCUGCCCCCGACUCUGGGAUAAGCCCGGGAAACUGGGUCUAAUACCGGAUAUUACCUUUGACCGCAUGGUUGUUGGUGGAAAGAUUUAUCGGUGGGGGAUGGACUCGCGGCCUAUCAGCUUGUUGGUGAGGUAAUGGCUCACCAAGGCGACGACGGGUAGCCGGCCUGAGAGGGUGACCGGCCACACUGGGACUGAGACACGGCCCAGACUCCUACGGGAGGCAGCAGUGGGGAAUAUUGCACAAUGGGCGAAAGCCUGAUGCAGCGACGCCGCGUGAGGGAUGACGGCCUUCGGGUUGUAAACCUCUUUCAGUAGGGGAAGGAAGCGAAAGUGACGGUACCUGCAGAAGAAGCGCCGGCUACUACUCCG
rnacentral:rRNA from 1 species